ensembl:lncRNA
CUAAAACCGUGUGUAUGUGACCAAUAACAUCUGCUAAAACCGUGUGUAUGUGACCAAUAACAUCUGCUAAAACCGUGUGUAUGUGACCAAUCACAUUUGAUAUGAUUAUAAAGUUACCAUUCUUGUAUAAAACUCUAUAGGAUGAGAAGAGAGACGAACAUCUAUAACUAAUGUAGAUAUUAAGUUACCUUGAAACCUGAAUGGAAAACAUCCCUGGGUAAACAGCAAGUAUACAGUUGAUACACUAGUAUACAGUUGAUACACUAGUAUACAGUUGAUACACUAGUAUACAGUUGAUACACUAGUAUACAGUUGAUACACUAGUAUACAGUUGAUACACUAGUAUACAGUUGAUACACUAGUAUACAGUUGAUACACUAGAAUACAGUUGAUACACUAGAAUACAGUUGAUACACUAGUAUACAGUUGAUACACUAGUAUACAGUUGAUACACUAGUAUACAGUUGAUACACUAGUAUACAGUUGAUACACUAGAAUACAGUUGAUACACUAGUGUACAGUUGAUACACUAGUAUACAGUUGAUACACUAGAAUACAGUUGAUACACUAGUAUACAGUUGAUACACUAGUAUACAGUUGAUACACUAGUAUACAGUUGAUACACUAGUAUACAGUUGAUACACUAGUAUACAGUUGAUACACUAGUAUACAGUUGAUACACUAGAAUACAGUUGAUACACUAGUAUACAGUUGAUACACUAGUAUACAGUUGAUACACUAGAAUACAGUUGAUACACUAGAAUACAGUUGAUACACUAGUAUACAGUUGAUACACUAGUAUACAGUUGAUACACUAGUAUACAUUUUGAUACACUAGAAUACAGCACAGUACUCUCCAUUGAAAAGCACAGGCGGACCUCAGCGAGAAAAAAACAACCUUUAGAUAACCAGCUAAGCCCACUGAGAGGAGUCAUGUGAAACACUUCUAUAGGAAUGAGGCUGGCUGCUCAGAGUUGAAUCACAGUAGUCCCUCCGUUGUAUUCAGACCCUGCAUUAGCAGACCAGUUGCAAGGCACAGUGUACCUCAGUGGCAGGUGAGUCUCUUCUCUCCUGCGAGACAGAUUAGAUUGUAGUAAUGUGGUGGAUUGGAUUAGCACAGUGAGACGGGAGGGAGGAGUAAAGUAGUCCUCAGUGGCCAGUCUCUAUCGUGUGGGAGGGAGGGGUAAAGAGGUCCUCAGUGGCCAUUCUCUAUCGUGUAGCAGGGAGGGGGGGGGGUAAAGUAGUCCUCAGUGGCCAGUCUCUAUCGUGUGGGAGGGAGGGGUAAAGUAGUCCUCAGGGGCCAGUCUCUAUCGUGUGGGAGGGAGGGGUAAAGUAGUCCUCAGUGGCCAGUCUAUCGUGUGGGAGGGAGGGGUAAAGAGGUCCUCAGUGGCCAGUCUCUAUCGUGUGUGAGGGAGGGAGGGGUAUAGUGGUCCUCAGUGGCCAGUCUCUAUCAUGUGGGAGGGAGGGGUAUAGUGGUCCUCAGUGGACAGUCUCUAUCGUGUGGGAGGGAGGGGUAUAGUGGUCCUCAGUGGCCAGUCUCUAUCGUGUGGGUGGGAGGG